UUUCUCUUUCUUUUACUUUUGUUUCAUAACUCACUUUACCAAUUGAGCCAAUGCUCCAAAGGGUUCACUCAUCUCAAGUACUUUCACAAUCUGUAAUAUAGCUUGAUGCCAAUAUUCCUCAAUGUUCAAAGGUAACAAUUCUUUUCCACAAACUUUUCACAACAAAUAGAAAACAAAACCAAGGCAUGGAAGAUACGGCAAAAUCAUGAUAUUCACAAUAUAAGGACUUACGGUCAUGCUAGACACCAACAUAUAAAUACUCGUCACCAUGCCUAUUCGUCGUACUCAAUAAUUACCACAAAACAAAUAGGACUUAACUCCUAAUCCCUGUCACACCUCCUUUUGGCUACUACAACCCUGCGAAGGGCAUAGAUAAGGGAGUUUUUCCAAUUAAAGGACAAUCAAAACGAGAUUCGUUUAUUUAAGAAAAUUUCAGAGUCGACACUUGGGAUAGUCAAUUGUGUCCCAAGUCACCGGUUUAAAUCCCGAAUCGAGGAAAGAAUGACUCUGUUUGACAGUCCACGAACCAAAAAUCCAAGUAAGGAAUUCCGUUAACCUGAGAGAAGGUGUUAGGCAUUCUCGAGUUUCAUGGUUCUAGCACGGUCGCUCAACUGUUAUAUUUGGCUUAAAUUAUCUGAUUUUAUACAAUUAUGAACCCAUGUGCAUUUUGAAUUUUUUAAC
rnacentral:lncRNA from 1 species